rnacentral:rRNA from 1 species
UACAGGGGGGGCAAGCGUUGUUCGGAAUUACUGGGCGUAAAGGGUUUGUAGGUGGCUUGCUAAGUCAGACGUGAAAUCCCUCAGCUUAACUGGGGAACUGCGUCUGAUACUGGCGAGCUUGAGUGCAGGAGAGGAACGCGGAAUUCCAGGUGUAGCGGUGAAAUGCGUAGAUAUCUGGAGGAACACCGGUGGCGAAGGCAGCCUCCUGGGCCAGCACUGACGCUCAUGCACGAAAGCGUGGGGAGCAAACAGG